AAAAACUGAGGAGGACGGAAGAGCGGCAGUUCAAAAAGUGCGAGAGGCGGGGCAAUAGCCCUCCUCGUCCGACUGUCGAUAUCACCAAGAGAGGCGGAGCGACAGGGUGGCGGAGGGUGGUAGACUGGCAGUAGUUCUCAGUCAUCCCAAUAGACUUCUGAAGUUGACGACGAUGAAGACUGAGAUUCCGGACGACGACGCCGUGCUGCUGUCCUCAAGAUUGUAAUAGUGUGGCCGAGAUGGGGCGGGGCCUCCGUUUCACACUCUAUGCGCCCCUCUACUGCUCAGCGCUGGGCGUUCCGUCCGUUUCUCUACGCUCUCGUUUCCUUAUCUUUCGGUAUCGAAGGUGCAAUUAAGGAUCCG
ensembl:ncRNA R10E11.10 ncRNA